CAGUAGCCGCGGUAAUACGUAGGGCGCAAGCGUUGUCCGGAAUUAUUGGGCGUAAAGAGCUCGUAGGUGGCCUGCUGCGUCCGCUGUGAAAACUCAGGGCUUAACCCUGAGCUUGCAGUGGAUACGGGCAGGCUAGAGGUCGGUAGGGGAGAAUGGAAUUCCCGGUGUAGCGGUGAAAUGCGCAGAUAUCGGGAGGAACACCGGUGGCGAAGGCGACUCUCUGGUCUGUAACUGACGCUGAGGAGCGAAAGCGUGGGGAGCGAACAGGAUUAGAUACCCCCGUAGUCCCUGUCUCUUAUAC
rnacentral:rRNA from 1 species